rnacentral:rRNA from 1 species
GACGAACGCUGGCGGCGUGCUUAACACAUGCAAGUCGAACGGAAAGGCCCUGCUUUUGUGCGGUGCUCGAGUGGCGAACGGGUGAGUAACACGUGAGUAACCUGCCCUUGACUUUGGGAUAACUUCAGGAAACUGGGGCUAAUACCGGAUAGGAGCUCCUGCUGCAUGGUGGGGGUUGGAAAGUUUCGGCGGUUGGGGAUGGACUCGCGGCUUAUCAGCUUGUUGGUGGGGUAGUGGCUUACCAAGGGUUUGACGGGUAGCCGGCAUGAGAGGGUGACCGGCCACAUUGGGACUGAGAGACGGCCCAGACUGCUACGGGAGGCAGCAGUGGGGAAUAUUGCACAAUGGGCGGAAGCCUGAUGAAGCAACGCCGCGUGCGGGAUGACGGCCUUCGGGUUGUAAACCGCUUUCGCCUGUGACGAAGCGUGAGUGACGGUAAUGGGUAAAGAAGCACCGGCUAACUACGUG